GGAGCAGACCUGGCUGGAUGAAGACACCGCCUUGAAAGCGGCUGCCCUGAAAGGGGUUGGGGGUUCGAGUCCCUCCUGCUCCGCCA
rnacentral:tRNA from 3 species